GAUGAAGAACGCAGCGAAAUGCGAUAAGUAAUGUGAAUUGCAGAAUUCAGUGAAUCAUCGAAUCUUUGAACGCACAUUGCGCCCGCCAGUAUUCUGGCGGGCAUGCCUGUUCGAGCGUCAUUUCAACCAUCAAGCCCCCGGCUUGUGUUGGGGACCUGCGGCUGCCGCAGGCCCUGAAAAGCAGUGGCGGGCUCGCUGUCACACCGAGCGUAGUAGCAUACAUCUCGCUCUGGGCGUGCUGCGGGUUCCGGCCGUUUAACCACCUUCAUAACCCAAGGUUGACCUCGGAUCAGGUAGGAAGACCCGCUGAACUUAAGCAUAUCAAUAAGCGGAGGA
rnacentral:misc_RNA from 1 species